AAAAAAUAUCAUCACCAUAGCCCUAUAAAUUUAGCAGUAAUGAGUUCAUUUUUAUUUUUCCCUAUCAUGUUUCAACCACCUUCUGCUUUCUAUCAUCCGAUUUUUGGAGAAAUAGAGAGGGCGCUCUAUUAAAGAAUACUUUAUACAAAUAUUAGAUUCGGGUCUUUUUUCUUGCUCUAUCCAUCUUGUGGCAGUAACUUCAUACAUAGUCUCCAUGAAACUGAUGCACAAAAAGCCAGAUCAUCCUAGUCAUACAAAAAUCCGGCAGCCAAAUGUUCCAAAAUCAACUGUCCCACAUGAUACCUAUUUUUAGUGGUUCACCAGCUUUGAAGCUACUAUUAGAAACCUCAAUGUAAGGGUAUGAACCAAAGCAUGUGUUCAAAGAAUUUUGGUGCAGUCAAUAUGGAAUCUAAAGAAGGUAAAGCCAACUCAUGUUGACAUUGACUUGGAAAAAGAAUAUUUGGUGGAAGGUCUUCAAACCAAUAGAGUUAGUGGCAUUGAUUCACCUAACUUCAUAUAAGAACCAUUAGAUAGGAAAAAGUGUGAUUAGAAAUUCACAAUGAGGGGCAUAUUGCGCAUCAAGAUAGACUCGAACACCAGACACAAAGCAGACAUGUAGACAACGAUAGUAAAUUAAGAAAAUAAAGUGAUUGAAUGUAACCAUAAAAAUAAAGUGAUUGAAUGUAACCAUAUGUGUCGGUGACAUAUUGACACAAUAUCAGACGUCAGACACGCCUUUAAUUUGAAGUGUCGGUGCUAUAUAUCAAAAUAAAAAAUGAUGAGCAUACCUGUGAGUAUAAGAAGGUUCCAAAUACGGCAAUUGCGGCUCCGAGAGCAUUGACGGGCUGAAUUGGUGUGUGGAAGAUGAUAAUUGAAGAGACUAUGACCGAUAUACGUUUCAUGGUGUUUCCAAUGCUAAACGUCAAAGGAGAGAUCUCAUCCAACGACAUGUAAGACACCUGAUUGUAUAGAUGAUAGAAUAUACUCUGAGCUGCUACCCACCUGUUGCAUACAUUUAUCAGUCAUAGUUUUAGUCAUAACAUCGAGAGAUCGUGCUUUUUCCGAACAAAAUGAUAAACAGAGGUGAGUAAACAAAUUACAUAAUCAGAAAAACAAACAAACUCGGUUUUGUCACAAAAGAACAUUUUUCAUGUAUAAUGUAGCAUUAAUUCUGUCAUAAUCACAUAACAAAAAUUGAAUGCUGUAGUUCUUUAGGUCCAUUCGACCUUUCAUACCGAUGUUAUGUGUGUGUUUGAAAAUCAAAUGAAUCAAUGAUUUAAACCAUAUACACUA